AACGAACGCUGGCGGCGCGUCUUAAGCAUGCAAGUCGAACGGCAUGAGGAAGCUUGCUUCCUCAGAGAGUGGCGGACUGGUGAGUAACACGUGGGUGACCUACCCUUGAGAUGGGGAUAGCCAUUAGAAAUAGUGGAUAAUACCGAAUACGCUCUACGGACUCUGGUUUGUAGAGGAAACAGGCUACGGCCUGGCUCGAGGAUGGGCCCGCGUCCCAUUAGCUAGUUGGUGAGGUAAGAGCCCACCAAGGCGACGAUGGGUAUCCGGCCUGAGAGGGUGUACGGACACAUUGGGACUGAGAUACGGCCCAAACUCCUACGGGAGGCAGCAGCUAAGAAUAUUCCGCAAUGGGGGAAACCCUGACGCAGCGACGCCGUGUGAGCGAUGAAGGCCUUCGGGUCGUAAAGCUCUGUCAGAGGGAAAGAAAGGGUCGGCGGAAUAAUACCCGCCGACAUUGACGGUACCCUCGGAGGAAGCACCGGCUAACUCCGUG
rnacentral:rRNA from 1 species